rnacentral:hammerhead_ribozyme from 1 species
AUCCGGCCGACGAGCCACAAAUAAGGCGAAACUCACGUCCUGGAU